rnacentral:lncRNA from 1 species
AAAAAAUAAAAAAGAAAAAAAAAAGAAACUUUUUUAAAAAUAAAAAAAUAAAAAAUAAAAAAAAAUAAUUUUUUACAAAAAUAAAUAAAUAAAUAAAAUAUAAUAGAAAAAAACUUGGACUUGGACCUCUCUCAUUUGAGCCCACAAAGCCAUGAAAAUCAGGUUAUAAAAGAGGGAGAUCAGACAGAAAAAGGAAGAGAAGCAAAAUACUCUGAGGUUUCCUUGAAACA